GUUUUCAGUAUUCUGACAGAUGCUAUUCCUAACGUUAUGCUUUGACACAAGCAUGAGGGCUUUCGCCAUGCUCACGCUCUUGAGAGAUGAUGUCAGUAGAGUGCCACAAUAAUAUAAAUGGGGACAACUGUUCACUGAAACCGAUAGUGCUAUGAGGGAGGGAAGCACAGGCAACUGUGUGAAUUAAUUAUCCAUAGGACUAGGGGGAAAAAAACAAGGGCAGACCCAGCUCUGAGGAAGGGGACCCUGCCAGGAAUCUCCUUCAACAACAUCUAGAUAAGAUCAUGGUCAAUGAACAGCAAGGGGCUUGCAUCCAGGCACUUCUUCUCUACAGCUUCAUUUUAAUUCAGAAAAGAGUAAUGGAGUAAGAAAGACAAAUUUUGUUAGAAGGAAGUGAAUGGCAGCUCAGAGUCUCAGCUCUGUACAGGCACCAAAGAACCUAUUUAUGAAUAUUAUAGUAGGAAUACAUACUUUCUCUUAAGAAAGACUUCAGAAAGGGCAAAAGGAAGCUGGUGUAAUUAACCAGCAGGGUAAGUAAGGUUGUUACAAGCAAAAAGCCAUCUUUGAAAAUGCUGAAGUCAUAUUCCAGUGACACAAGAAGAAGGAGGUACAAAUGCUGUGAGGUUAAAUGUGAAAACAUAAUAAGGCAGACCAAAAAAGCAUAUGGAUAAUCACUAACAAAGGAAUCAAAAUUAAUAAUCCUUUUCGCUAUGAAACACAUCAGAGGCAGGAAUUUUGCUAGAAUCUGUACGACCAGUUCAUUUUCAGGUCAUGAAAGAGUACUCAGAGAAACAAGGUCAUUGCAGAGAAGUUAAGUGAACCCUUUGCAUUGGUGUUCGCUGUAGAAGGAACUGGAAAGAUUCCAAAACCAGAACCCUUCUUGGUGGGGGACUCGUCUGAAGAGCAGUCUGAAAAUGAAAUUACUGUAGAAGAGAUUAUGGAAUAAAUAGAUAAAGUGAAAAUCACCAGGACUGUAUAGUAUUCACUCCAAAUUUCUAAAGGAACUCAAGGACAAAAGAGCUGAAUUACUCACUGCAGGGUGUAACCUAUUGCUUAAAAUUGCCUUGCUUCUGGAAGGCGGCAGAUGUGACAUCAAUUCUUUAAAAAGAUUCCAGGGAAAAUCUGGGAAAUAGUAGGAAUCUAAGUCUGAUGCGUGUUGGGCAAAUUACUAGAAACUAUGAUAAGAAACAAAAUUAGGGGACAUCUGGGUAGUUCUGAUUUAUUUGGGAAGAGUCAGCAUUCUGUUGAGGAAAAUAUGGCUUUACAAUUCUGAUAAAAGGUUUUUCAAAGGGGCUGUAAAGGGUUGGGCUAAUAUGGGGAUGAUGAUGAUGAUGUCAAUACAGUCUACUUUGAUUUCCAAAAGACUUGAGUUCAGGUUAGAAUUAGGGUUUGCUAAAUACAAAUGUCUACAGGGAUGGUAAGACUAAAGGUAGAAAAAAAGACCACCAAGGCAGAACUUCAGGGGUGGCUUAUAGGGAGCACAUUAUGUGAGGGCACCGAGAGCACGUCCAGCCUGGUCUGACAUAAGCCUUGGGGCAUGACUAAGGAAAAGUUAUUCCAAAAGGUGUGACUCGUUCCCAAAUGGAGGAUAAGGCACAGAAGAGCAAAGACCUUGUACCAGUGAGACACUAUUCACUGUAUUGGUUUUUUUUCAGUGCAUUCAGAAGUAGCUCAGUAAAUAGGAUUUUGCCAAUACAAGUAAAAGGCCAGAAACUCCAUUGUGACUUGACAGUGCAGGGUCUCAGGAGCUGUCUGGGCUUGUCUUGACAUGACCUGAUUUUAAUUUGUUUCAGAUUGUAUUUUUUGUGUGUGUGUGUAUGUGUGCAUGAAAAUCAUCUAGUGAUCAAGUGGGUGUUGCCUGACUGGGUUGAGCGUGGCCUGUGUACACUAUAUAUGGUAAAAGCCUAACUACCCUACUGUAUCAGUGGCUUUUUAUGUUGAAGGAAGCUGUAGGAGGCUGUGGGGCAAAUUUCAGACUUUAGCAAUGAGAAGAAUGCCAACUAUAGUAAGAAAACCCACGCAGAUCCCAAAUCAGAGGGGAGAGAGACUCCUACUGUGAACAUUAAACUUUUUCCAUCAAAAGAAACGGGAGGCCAAUGACUCAUAACACCUCCAUUUCUGACACACUCCUUUUAUGGAAGAUGGAAGUUGUCGACCUUAGCACCCAGUGGGACAUACAGCAGGUGAGCACAGCACCACAGAA